rnacentral:rRNA from 1 species
UGGGGAAUAUUGCACAAUGGGCGCAAGCCUGAUGCAGCGACGCCGCGUGGGGGAUGACGGCCUUCGGGUUGUAAACUCCUUUCGCUAGGGACGAAGCUUUUUGUGACGGUACCUAGAUAAGAAGCAACGGCUAACUACGUGCCAGCAGCCGCGGUAAUACGUAGGGUGCGAGCGUUGUCCGGAAUUACUGGGCGUAAAGGGCUCGUAGGUGGUUUGUCGCGUCGUCUGUGAAAUUCCGGGGCUUAACUCCGGGCGUGCAGGCGAUACGGGCAUAACUUGAGUACUGUAGGGGUAACUGGAAUUCCUGGUGUAGCGGUGAAAUGCGCAGAUAUCAGGAGGAACACCGAUGGCGAAGGCAGGUUACUGGGCAGUUACUGACGCUGAGGAGCGAAAGCAUGGGUAGCGAACAGG